AAAAAAAAAAAAAAAAAACAGUGAGGAUGGUACAGUUUGAUCAUAUCUAGCUUUUCCCAUCGUAUAUUCGAGAGUUGUGUCGUCGUUGAGAAAUAUGUAAUCAUGAUAGUCCGUUAUCCAUUGCGACAAAGAAAAGUAUAUUUCGUCCAGAAGCAAACAGUGUUGGGAUCAAAGAAAUAAUUAUAACUCACAUGUCUUUGAUUGUUUUCUUGGCACUUUGCUCGGUUACCUAGUACUAUCACUCGGUUGCAGGUCUGGGGAUCACCAAUGGUUUCCUUUGGGCCCUUCCGCUCAAAGGGAUUAAUUGACAACCGCACGAGACACACCCCUAUUCACUAGGGUUACUUAUUUUGAGCGUAUGUCGUAUUGUAUUUCAGUUUCUAUCACUCUCGUAGCAUUCCGCAUCGCUUUUCUACCUCGUGUAGUUUUUCUCCCAACAACCCUACCUGUUUUCUGUAUUUCUUAGCGACAGGGUAGGUGGCAGAGAGGUUUAUUUCCCAGUUUUUAUGUUCUAUGAUUUAUCUCGUGUCUUCGGAUGUGGAAAUAAACUCCUCUUUUGGCCAAAAACAAACGGUGUUGUUUAUGUGUUGUUGGCCGGGACAAUUUGAGAAGAUGAAACCAAGUAUGGAGAAAGACACUGUUCAGUUUCCGCGAGAUAAACAAAUGGCUUUCGAGGUGACACACUUGCAGUUUGUUGCAUUGGGUGUUGGCAAAAUGGAACUGACGAAAAAACGUGGAUCCUUUCACUAAAGGAAGCGAUUUCGUGUUAGUUGUUGACAUUAACUCAUGGAACUAACGCUCAUUGUACUGUAGGAUUUCAAAGGAACAUGGUGUAUUUCAGUAGUCACACGAUCGAAAUUAACCAAACAGUGUAUGAAACUAAAUUAUUGUCGACUACUAGCAUUGCUAGCAAACGAAGAUUAAUUACUAAUUGGGUCGUUACAUCUCUUCAGACGGUAAAACCUCUAUCUACUGCAAAUUACCAAUCAAAGGUGGCCCGGAGCUGAUAUGCGUCGCACGCGCAUAGGCCGUGGGGGCCGACAAGGCCGCGCGUGCGCAUACUGUAAGCAGUGUAUGGCUUGUUUGUCGUGUUAGAGCUUCGCUCACCCGUCUUGGAUUUAUUUUACAUUUUAUAUCGGUCGAAUCAUCAUCGCAGGUGACGAUGAAGUCGAAGAAACAAACAUUGCCUUUGGCUCUUUUAACAACUGGAGUAUUGCUAAUGGUCGCAGAAUACCAACUGUAUACAAAGCAAAUGAAGAUGAAUCUCGACCCAGUGCAAACUCAUGUUGUGCGAGCGAUAAAAGAGGAUUUAAACGUACAGACUAUACAGGUAUGGUACUUACACUGGUGUUAACGUAUAGGCGAAUCUUUGUUGACGUCAUUGUUCAUAUUUUCUUCUCAUUAUCAUACGACUUCAAUCAGAGAAGGCAUUACGCUAGAUACGAAUUGACUUCAAACAUUUAAAGAACUUGUUAAAUUUAGUAAGUGGUGAAUUCUUUGGCUCUUUGGGUGUAGUAUUUAUGGAGAAAUGGGUUUCCCGAAACUGCAAAAUUUUUAGGUGGAAAAAGCGCUGAUGAGCUCAUACAUUCUUUGUAAAAUUUUGGGUCUUGAUUAAAACCCGCGUUGCGUGAAACGCAUUGCUCAAAUAGAGUCAGGUGGGGGGCACUGGUGGACGACCCAUGUUCCUCCAGGAACGAGGUUGACUAAGUGAGUGAAAGCUGCGUUGCACAAAACGUAUUCAAUACAUGGAGCUCGAAUUCCUCGGGACAGUUAAUCGCGCUAUGGCAUUUCAAUAUUCAGAACUGAUAUUUUCGUACCUUAAUCAGAAAUUCUAUCGCGCUCAUGCUAAUGAGGCAAAUAAUGUAAAAAAAGAUUCCCUUGUAGGAAUGGAACCAUUUGUACCUGGAAACUUGCCACGGAGGAUUACAACAACAACAACAACAGCAGCAGCAAUCUUUAUUUGCACUCUCUCACAUUAUAAAC